rnacentral:rRNA from 1 species
AUUGAACGCUGGCGGCAGGCCUAACACAUGCAAGUCGAGCGGAUGAAGGGAGCUUGCUCCUGGAUUCAGCGGCGGACGGGUGAGUAAUGCCUAGGAAUCUGCCUGGUAGUGGGGGAUAACGUCCGGAAACGGGCGCUAAUACCGCAUACGUCCUGAGGGUGAAAGUGGGGGAUCUUCGGACCUCACGCUAUCAGAUGAGCCUAGGUCGGAUUAGCUAGUUGGUGGGGUAAAGGCCUACCAAGGCGACGAUCCGUAACUGGUCUGAGAGGAUGAUCAGUCACACUGGAACUGAGACACGGUACAGAAUCCUACGGGAGGCAGCAGUGGGGAAUAUUGGACAAUGGGCGAAAGCCUGAUACAGACAUGCCGCGUGUGUGAAGAAGGUCUUCGGAUUGUAAAGCACUUUAAGUUGGGAGGAAGGGAAGUAAGUUAAUACCUUGCUGUUUUGACGUUACCAAAAGAAUAAGCACCGGCUAACUUCGUG